ensembl:lncRNA
GCAUUUAUUCUGCUCAACGACACUAUGUUGUUUUUCUUAUUCCUAUAUUACAGAGGAGGAAACUGGGGCAAGGAGAGCAAUGGCCAUGGCACACGUGGUAAAGGUGGGAGCACUAACUUUCAUCCUGAUAGUCUCUCUUAAACUCAAAGGUAGAGGGUGCUACACAGCACUCCAGUAGCUUUAAGUUUAGUGGAGAAGAUAUGACCUACACAGAUGAUGGUAACACAAAGCAGUAGGCAGUGGGUUACAAGUGUCCUAAUAAAAGCACGAAGUACUGUAGGAGUUCCAAAAAAGAAGAAAAAAUAGCUUCUGGAGGGGAUGGGGUUUAACCCCGGACUUCUGGAGAGGUAAUUCAUGUGUCUUAGCAAUUGAAAGGGAGAGGAAAGCAUGAGGGGAUUUAGGGGAAUAGCAGUUAAGAUUCAUACUAGGGCUGAACAAGAUAUGAGACCUGUAACGUAGACGGCUGCUGGGUUAGGGAGGGCUCAGAGUUGGGUGUCCCUCUUCGUUCAAGAGGUGUUGUGAGGAAGGAGCAAGGCAGAAACCACAGGCAAGCUUUUCAAAGUCUGCAUUGAAGAAAUGGAGGUCAACCGUCUGACCCAGGGGAAGAACUUAAGGAGUUUAGAAAGGGAAGCAAUUUGGGGGUACAAAUGCAGUACAGCAGGAGCCAAGUUGGGGCUGGAAGCUGAGCCAUGAGGUAGGAGCCAAAAUAGGGAUGAGGUAAAGGGAAAUGAGGCAGCAGGAGACAAGGAGGGGGGCAGAGUAAUUCCAGGGCACAGAGGUUUUGGGGCAAGACUGCUCUGGGAAGUGUGAUCUCGUGACUUCUCUCUAAUUCUCUGGGAUAUCCAAAAAGUACUCCCUGGGUACUCACCCUAGGCCAGGGAAAUAUGACCCAGCGGUGCCUGAGCGAGACAAUCUGGCAGAGGCCAGCGUAGUUCAGAGAGCAGGAAGCUCCGGGCAGUGAGGGGGCCCCCUAGCUGCGCCCUCACCGGGUAACUGCUUCUAAAGGGACUUCUGGGAACUAAAUUGUGGCAGUAGACUCAGUAAUGAUGCGAUAAUUGACUGAUUCAGAGGGAAAAGGGUGAAGGAGAAUGAGGAGACAUGCGAAUUUGUGGCUUUGAGUCUGCAUGGCAAGGAGAAUGGCAACGGUAUUGACAGAAGUACCAGCAAGAUGAACUGAUUCAGGGAAUCAUGGGAUCAGUUUUAGAUACUGAGUGAGGCAUAAAGGCGAGCCUUCAAGGUGGGAAAUAUCUUGCAGAGAAGAGAAAAUUCUGGACAGAAAUUCUGGAGAGAGCUGGGAGCUGGGGGUAUGCACGCCUAUCGAGUGACUGUGUCUAUUUAGGAAGACCGUGUGGAGAGAGAAAGAGAAUUAAGGACAGAGGAAGGAUGUCUACCUUCUGAGGAAGGACAGUCAACAAAGGAAACUGCGGGAUGGUCUGAAGGGAAGGAGGGCUCCACUGAAGCCAAAAGCUUCCAGAAAACAAGGAGGACGAAGAAUGGAAAUAGCUUCUUGGCUUCCUUGCUGGGAAGUGACCUCCACUUGCCCAUCUUCUUAUACAAAUGAUGAACUUCCCUCGAGGCAUUACUUCUUCUAUGGAGUUUUUCUGACUAUUCCAUCCUUCACGUAUUCCCCAUUCCUUAGGAUUCCUGCGGUACUUAGAGACUGCAAGUAUAUUCAGCCUUUGUGGACACGUCCCUGCAUUUCACUGCAGGCGGCACCUCGCAAGCCUCCCAGCUGGAUGGAGGCAGCUUGACAGCUUUGCUCCUCACCUCAGGGAUUACACCAACAGUCUCCUAACUGGGAGCUAUGCCCAGCUGGAAGUCCCCAGUGCUGUGUUCUCCUCAAGGGAUCAGCAUGAUUUUUAAAUGUAAAUCACAUCAUAUGACAACCCUGCUUCAAACUGCCAUGGCUUUCCAUUACACUUGGAAACAUAAUCCCGGCUCUCAGAUUCCGGCCGGCAGUCAGCCCUGAGCCCUCCUCCCAGGCCUUUCUCUCCCUCCACUCCCCCAUCACUCACACACUCAGCAACUCUGGCUGUUUCUGUCUCAGGGUCUUCAAACUUUCCAUUCCUUAUUCUUUAAAUGU